GAGCCCCGCCCCCCGUCGAGGUCCCUCGGGGCGAGAGUGGCGCCUACGCUCUCUGAGGCUGGAAGUCCAAAAUCAAGGUAUCAGCAAGUCCGUGUUCCUUCUGAAACCUGUAGAUUAUGAAAGAAACAACUCUACCUUGUUACUUUUGAUAGAAAACUGUAAACUCUAGAGUGUUCUCUUAUCCUGUACACUCAUCUGAUCUGUGUCCAUGACUCCUGAUUAAAAAUACCACUUUCACUUGAUUUUAUGUAUUCAUGAGAUGUACUCAGAAAGAGACAGAGACACAGGCAGAGGAAGAAGCAGGCUCCCUGUGUGGAGCCCAAUGCAGGACUCAAUCCCAGGACCCCGGGAUCACAAUCUGAACCAAAGGCAGAUGUUCAACUACUGAGCUACCCAGGCAUCCUGUGCUUUUCAUGUCUUAAGAAAUCUUUGCCUGACUCAGGAUCAGAGGUACUCUCCAAUGUACAAAGUUUUAUCAUUUUAUGUCUAGGUUUAUGAUGCAUUUUAAAUUAAUUUUUGAGUAUGGUUUAAGGUAAUUGUUGAGGGCUUGUUUUUCUACAUAUUUGUUUCAGUACCAUAUUUUGAAAAUACUGUUCUUUGCCAUUACCUUGGCAUCCUUUCCUGAAAAUCAGUUGACCAUGUAUGUCAAGGUCUUUUCUUUCCAUGUAUUUAUGAUUCUGUCCAUUAAUCUGCUUGUUUAUAUGCGGAAACCAUACAGUUUUACUUACUGUAGCUUUAAAGUAAAUUUUGAAGUCAGCGUCUUCAAGUUUGUUUUGACUUUUCUAGAUUCUUUUCAUUGACAAAUAAGUUUUAGAUGUAACUUGUAAGUUUCUGAUAAAAAUUCUGCAAAGAAUUUUGUUCCUGCCAAUACUUUGGUUGCAAUUGUGUCGACUCUAUAGGUAAGUUUGGGGAGAAUUAAUGUCUUAACAAUAUUAAGUAUCACAUCCAUGAACAUAGUAUCUCUCCUAAUUUAUGCCUUACUUUUUCUCAGAUGUGUUUUGACGGUUUCAAUGGAGAAGUCUUCUCUCUUGUUAAAUUUUAUCUCUGUUUUUUCAACAACUUUACUGAGUUAUAUUUUACAUAUUAUAAACUGUGCCCAUUUUAACUAGAUAGUGCAAUGUGUCUUAGUUGAUUAUUUUAUGUUUAUUGAUGUAAUGGUAAGCAGAACUGGUUUUAUUUUCCAAUGUUUGUUUCUAGUUUAUAGAAAUACAAUUGUAUUUACAUUCGGUUAUGAUGUCUCUUAAAAUUCUUUUAUUCUUGAAAAGUCCCUAGCCUCUAUUUUUUUCUUUAUAAUAUUGGCUUGUUUACACAUAUGACUAAAUUAAGAUUAUAUUAAGAUAAAAAUUCAGAUCCUCAGGCACAUUGUAUUUUGAUUGCUCAAUAGCCACAUGUGUCUAGUGGCUGCUGUAUUGGAUACCACAGAUUUUUCAUAUUUCAAGGAGUUGUAUUGAAAAGCUCCAUGUGGAGUGGUUGGGUGGCCCCACCUUCUAGAUUCACCUUAUCAUUUUCUCAUGAUGUUGUGUAACUUGUUCUAAUAAUCUGUAUUUACGGUAAAUUGAAAGUGAUACACAUACAUUUAAAAGCUUAAUUAAAUGCAGAUUCAACUUUUCAGACUACCUCCUAAGUGAUGCUGUAUCCUUUGUACUGCAUUACAAAGAACUAAGAAUUGACAUAGAUUUUGCAACAUGAAUCAGCUAUUGAUCUUGUACUGGGGGCAAAGUCUCGAUUCAAGGAGUGGCUCAAGAGAGAAGAGGAGUAGAAUUGGUGACACCAACAAUGACAAAAAAGUAGUAAGCUUUUUGUUCUUAAAGAGGAGCAGAGAAAUGCUGUGUUUACUGGAUGGGGAUAUGGGGUUAAAUUGGAGAGACGACAGCAUGUUAAUGUGCUGAUAGUAGUAAUUCAUCUGCGAGGAAAAGUCUGACUGAGCAGGAAGGGGGGAUUACUGACACACUGGUUCUGGGUAGGCAAGUGAGAUGGGGCUAGCAAGUGGAGGUGUUGGGCGGGGAGAAGGCCCCAGUGGCUCUCCCCCGACAGUAAUAGGGGCAGGCCAGCGUGAGUCAUUAGAAGGUACGUGGGACUCCUAUUCUGAUUGAUUCUAUUAUUUAUUUACAUCUAAGCAUCCAGAACCACAGAGAAGUACUGUAUGGUCUCAGACUUCCCUAUUUUGUGUGUUCUUCUAUUUCAUACACGUCUUAACUCCUUUACUAUCCCUUCUGUCUUCAGUUUGUCAGUUUCCCUGACUCUACAGCCUCUUUCCAUGUUCCACUUUUUUUUUUUUAAAAAAAGAUCUUAUUUCUUUAUUCAUGAGAGACACAGAGGCAGAGACACAGGCAAAGGAAAAUGUAGGCUCCCUGCGGGGACCCCACUGUGGGGCUCGAUCCCAGGGCCCCAGGAUCACGCCUUGAGCUGAAGGCAGAUGCUCAACCACUGAGCCACCCAGGUACUCCUCCCUGAUCCUCUUUUAACUUGAUUUUAUUAUUCCAUAAGUUCAAGCAUCCACAGAUAUGGCUGUUGAUAGAAAAAGAAAAGAGUUCCCAUUCAAGUUACCCCAAAUGGGAAAGAACUGAACAUGGAACUGUAUGUAGAGUGGCCUGGAACGUGUCUCCCUCAGGGACUUUUCUGUGCUUCCACGGUGUCUUUGCGUCUGUUCCUUUCUCCUUUCUCGGCUCCCAGCCUCCUUUACUCACUCAUAGUUUUUGCACCUCAGUGACUCUGGCUGCAUGCACUCAGCCAUCCUGACCCCAUGGACCACAGUUACAUCAUCCCCUUGUGGCUGGCUGUGGCUGCAAGGACCUGAUCUAGGCCUGGACUGAAUUAGUAAAAAAUGGAAUCUGAUUGUGGGGACUUCCUCUAAGGCUCUGACCUCCCACGGGAUUGGCCGCCCUGCUUGGGCCUUGGCAGCUAGACUCCUUCCUUGGAGUGGGGGCAUUUUUAUACAGCAGGGUAUUUUGAUUGUGUAUGAUCCAGGAAAGAAUGGUAUCUAAUUAAGUGAAGCACACAAGCUUUAUUUUAUGGACUUUCAAACAUCUCUUUUAACUUUCAAUUUAUUUAUUUUUUAUUGGCUACAUUCUUUAUCACGACAAACCCUCAGCAAAUACUUGUAAAACGAAUGACUUUUGAAAUAAUAGAUAAGAACUGAUUUUUUUUUCUGAACUACCUAUUAAUUUUAAUUUACUUUUGCAUUUUUGGUUCAAUAAAUGCUGUGCUUCAGAAAGCUCUGUAUAUGAAAAAAAAUUAGACUUUUGGCAAAAUGCUGUCAAGGCAAAUCAGAAUUCAAAUUCAUUUACCUGUCCCAGUUAGCAAGGAGGGUAGACUUCGGAGUUCUACCACUAUGAUUUAAAGCUAUUUCAGAAUUUUAAAACCUUUUAUUUAAUAUAAAUAUAUUGAGAAUAUUUAUAUAUUUAAGAAUAUUAUUAUUCUCUGAGGCCCAAACGCACAGUUGCUAUAAAUUUAAUAAAUAUCUUGAGAUUGGAUACAAAUUCAGUUGAGAGGCAAAAUGUUUCCUUAAUGCUAACUUGUCCUUUUAAUGUGUUUGAAUCCAGAUGUUCCGACCUCAUUUGCUGGAGUGGAUGCAGCAUUAGCCUGUCAGUUCCCUGCUGUUUACCAUUAUAUAGUAUUAUUAGAGACCGUAAGUGUGCAUGUAAGAAAAGCUUUAAACUGAGGAAGGUACCACGCUGCGGUCCGUGCCCAGAAAUUCUGAGGUUAAAAAACAACAAAACAAAGCAACUAUAAGUAAAGCCUUAGAAUACUAAUAUUGAGAAAAAGCUGCAGUGGCUACGAGCAGUCCUGCUUUUACCUGUCUUUGCAUUAGCUGUCAGCGAAGGUCCUCAAGCACAUCGCCAAGUCCUCAUUAAGGGCCAUUCUCUCCUUCCAGGAAAGCAUCUAACAAAACGUACAUUCCACAAUUGAAUAUUCAGGGUUUUCAGCAGUAACAGAAAACAUAAAUUGUGUUUCCUAAGGUAAUAGGGACCACACUAUUGUGCUCCUAAAUCCUUGUGUAGAUCUUAGAUUUACUCUGUAGGUUAUUGUACUCAAGUCAAUCUCUAUUUCAACAGUAAUACAGGACAUAGUUCUUAAGGAAUGCUGGAAUGCUUAGAUUUAGGAAUGCUUCCUUUACACCGGGGUGCCUGGGUGGCUUAGUCGGCUAAGCGUCCAACUCUUGGUUGCAGCUCAAGUCCUGAUCUCAGGGUCACGAGAUCGAGCUCCGAGUUGGGCUCUGUGCUGGGUGUGAAGUCUGCUGAAGACUCCCUCUCUCCCUCUGUCCCACUCUGCCCCUAAAAAAAAGGAUUUUAUACAUAUUUCAUUGUUCUUAUAAGAGGAGUAUAAUAGAUUUGCUUCUUGUUUAACUACAAUGUGAGCCAUAGAAUCCAGCCUCUCCAGGUCUCAGCAGACUUGUAUUCUCCAUAGUCUAAUGGUUAUUGGUUUUCAUAUGUGAGUGUGUUUACAGAUGCCCUUAGGCUCAGAGCUCUGGCCCCUUGGGAUUACCAUGUGCGUGUUCAUCAAUCAGCAAAGAUUCAUGCUCCAGUAACCAAUACAUAGAGGCACUUUCAGCUUGUCUUCCUACUUUUAAAGAACACAGGGAUUUAAUGGCCAGUAUUUUAUUGAGAUUUAUGUCUGGAUUCAUAAAUGAAAUGGGCCUAUCCUUUUCUUUUCAUACAUGAUCUGUUGACCUGAGAACUGAGAAUGCCAUCACGAAAUUAUUUGACUAUCUUUUCUUAUUUUUUAUAUUUCCUUAAACAAUUUGAAAAGGUAAGAGAUGUUCUGGCCCCGGAGAGUUGCUGGGACACAUGUAAAAACCAUCUGGGCCUGUGUGGUUUUGAAAGAGGCCGGUAAAAGGCAAGGGGGUGCGAUUGCCAUUUGAGCUUCAUGGGCUUUGGCUUCUUUUUCUUUUCCUUCUUGCACCAGAACUUUUAUUAAUGGUUUUCCUAAAAGUUGAGAGAAUCUGAUUAAUAAAUAAUUGUUGUACAGUAGCCAAUCAUACUUUCUGCUCCUUCUGAAAUUCCUUAUGAAGGAGCAUGCAGACAGGAGCGAGCAGAGCUGUGUGGCGUGUGGCACGGCACCGUGCAGCCGGAGCCCCUUGUGUCCUGACCGCCACCAUGGCUUCUCUCCCCAAGGACAGCACCACUGCCCUGCGGUCACAUCCACUGGUCCCUGCAUUUCUAGGUUCCUUGGCCACCCACAUGUGUGUGCCUAAACAUAUUAGGUACCACUUUGCAUUUUCACAUGUAUUGCCACAAAAUUGUUCAUAGUAUUUUAUUUUUUAAUCUCUGUUGCACUUUUAGCUAUAUCCACUUUUUCUUCCUUUUUCUUUUCUUUUUUCAUCGCUCACAGAUAUACUUGUUCACACAGGUGAUCAGUCCCUAGAAAUUAGUGCAUUUUAUCCUUUUUGCAAGUUUUGCCCUUCUUGAUCUUUUAUAUUGCUUUUCAGUUUCUCACUGUUCUUAUUCCCUUUCUUCUUUUUUCUCCGGGUUUAUCUUUUGAUGACUUCUCGGGUUGGUCAUCCAGCUGGGUAGUGGUAUUCUUUCCUAACAUACGCUUGUGCAUAUCAUCGCCCCAGCUGCGUAGGUUGGCACCCCUCCUUAUUGGUUGAGGAUUGCGCAGGUACAUAUUUUGAAUAUUACCUGUGAAUAUAAUCAUGUAGGGCUACAAGUUUUUCUUUUAAAUGCCACUUUAACUGCAUCUCACUAAUUUUUAGGGGAUUUUAAAUUAAUUUUAUUCCUAAGCUAUUCUAUAACUUACAUAUUCCUGCAAACACGGAAGCAGAAAUAAAAGUAUGUAUUUUACUUUAUUGGGUGAAAAUGAGAUUGUUUGUGGUCCCACUGUGUGAACUUCUGGUCUUUUUUUUUUUUAAGAUUUUAUUUAUUUAUUCAUGACAGACACAGAAAGGCAGAGACACAGGCAGAGGGAGAAGCAGGCUCCCUCUGGGAGCCCAAUGUGGGACUCGAUCCCAGGAUCCCAGGAUCACGACCUGAGCCAAAGGCAGAUGCUCAACCCCUGAGCCACCCAGAUGCCCCUGAAUUCCGGUCUUGAACAAAUAAGAAACAUUUCUGUUGUUAAUAAAAGUAAAACCCACGAACACCUAGGGUGCCUCUGGAGACAUCUAUCAGUUUAGAUAUGCAGUAUUUUCUCAUUUCUUUUAUGAGCACUUCUAUGGUUCGUAUGUUGUUUAGUAGCAUUUAAAAAUAUCUAAGUGACUGGAAGCGUCUAUCAUCUCCAUGUUAUUAGUGCUAACUGAAUUGUACCGUUCUGUGAUAUUGAUUCCUCAGUAUUUGCUAAGACUUUACAGGCCUGCACAGGAUCAGUUUCCUAAUGUAUUCCGCGUGUGCUUGGGAAGAAUGUAGAUUCCUGUCAGAGACCGGGUUCUCUGCAGCUCCAUUUCACAAGCCUGUUUGCUGAAUUGUUUAAGUCUACCGUAUGCUUGCUGCAUCGUAUCCUUCAUCUGUCGAUAAAUUGAGAGGAGAAGGUGAGAUCUCCCAUUAUAAUAGUGUAGUCUUGGGGUGCCUGGGCUGCUCAGUUGGUUAAGCAGCCGGCUCGAAUCGGCUCAGGUCAUGAUCUCAGGGUUGGGGGAUCGAGCCCUGGGUUGGGCUCUGUGCUACCAUGGAGUUUGCUUUAGAUUCUCUUCCUCUCCCAUUGCCCCUCCCCCCUCACUCUCUAAAAUCAAUCAAUCAAUCUUUAAAUAAUAAUAAUGUAACCUUCCAAACUUGUAGUUCUGCCAAUUUUUACUUAUCAAUUUUUGAAAUGAUAUUUAGGAGUAGCUGCAUACAAAUUUAGAAUUUUGCCCUUCUGCUAAGGCUUUUUAACAUUAGAAAAUAGAUCUUCCUUUGUUUUUACUAGUGCUUUUUACUUUGUUUUGUUGAUCCUUUUGUUGUCAACCAUUGGGCCUUAUGCUUUGUUAGCUUUGUACCCCCCCGCCCCCACCGCCCAAAUAGGCAUAUUGUUUUUUAAAGAGCAUGUGGCAUAUUUCCAUCAUCAUUCUCUUUUGUUUAGUUCAUUUGAUUACAUUUAUAAUUACUAGUAAUCUUUCAUACUGUAUUUGUACUGCUUUUAAAAAUAGUUUAUUUCCUCUUUAUCCCUUUAGAUCAAGUUUUUAAAAGCAUUUUUUCCUCCACGAACUAGUUUGAUAUAACCUUCUAUUUGUGUUUUGAUGUAUUUAACUUACACUAAAAAUAAUCUAUUCUUCUCUUCCUAGACAACCUAUAACACUUCCUUGUUUGAUGUAUUAUCUAAUGUCCAGUAUUUUAAUUUUUUAUUGCUACUCAAAUGAGAUGUUAGGGUUUUUUUCAAAGAUUUUAUUUAUUUGGAGAGAGAGCACAAGCGGUGGUGGUACUCUGCAGGCAGAGGCAGCAGAAGCAGGCUCCCCACUGAGCAAGGAGCCCGAUGUGGGGCUCCAUCCCAGGACCCUGGGAUCAUGACCUGAACAGAAGGCAGACACUUAACCCACUCAGCCCUCCAGGCCUCCCAAGAUGUUACUUUUUAUACAAUCAGUAUUUGUUUUUAAUUUAGUCACACUUAGUUCUUUGUCCAGGAUUCCUUCAUGCGUCUUGGACUUUUACAGGUAGGAUUGUUUUCCUUCUUUCUGGAGUACUUCCUUUGGAGUUUCUUUAGUUACAGAGAUCUGGCAGUAAUGAACCCGUUUUGUUUGUCAGCAUGCUUACACAACUGUGGAAUUUUCUGACCCUCCAACUAUGACUACAGAUCAGAGGCAUUCUAAGUCACCACCCACCCACAGGUGCCCCGUGCCUCAGAGCUGCAGAAGCCUGCGUGCAAGGUCGGCUCUGCUGUGCACUUUCUUGGGUUUUCCUCCCAGCAAACAUGAGGCCAUGGUGUAUGUCUAGGGAGGAGACCCCAGAUGAACA